GCUCAGAACGAACGCUGGCGGCGUGUCUUAAGCAUGCAAGUCGUGCGGCAAGGGGUAGCAAUACCCCCUAGAGCGGCGGACUGGUGAGUAACGCGUGGGUGAUCUGCCUUUGGGAUGGGGAUAGCCAUUAGAAAUAGUGGGUAAUACCGAAUACGUUCAUCAAGCUGCGGCUUGGUGAGGAAAAGCGCUUCGGCGCUGCCCGAAGAUGAGCCCGCGUCCCAUUAGCUAGUUGGUGAGGUAAUGGCCCACCAAGGCGAUGAUGGGUAGCCGGCCUGAGAGGGUGUACGGCCACACUGGGACUGAGAUACGGCCCAGACUCCUACGGGAGGCAGCAGCUAAGAAUAUUCCGCAAUGGACGAAAGUCUGACGGAGCGACGCCGCGUGGAUGACGAAGGCCGAAAGGUUGUAAAGUCCUUUUGUUGGGGAAGAAUAACCAUGGGAGGGAAUGCCCGUGGGAUGACAUGAACCGACGAAUAAGCCCCGGCUAACUACGUGCCAGCAGCCGCGGUAACACGUAGGGGGCAAGCGUUGUUCGGAAUUACUGGGCGUAAAGGGCAUGUAGGCGGCUCUGUAAGUCUGGCGUGGAAGCCCAUGGCUCAACCAUGGGAUUGCGCUGGAAACUGUGGGGCUUGAAUCAUGGAGAGGGAGCUAGAAUUCCUGGUGUAGGGGUGAAAUCUGUAGAGAUCAGGAAGAAUACCAGUGGCGAAGGCGAGCUCCUGGCCAAUGAUUGACGCUGAGGUGCGAAAGUGUGGGGAUCAAACAGGAUUAGAUACCCUGGUAGUCCACACUGUAAACGAUGUGCACUAGGUGCUGGGGCGGAUGCUUCAGUGCCGGAGCUAACGCGGUAAGUGCACCGCCUGGGGAGUAUGCUCCCAAGGG
rnacentral:rRNA from 1 species